AGCGCAGGCGGGAAGGCAAGUUGGAAGUGAAAUCCAUGGGCUCAACCCAUGAACUGCUUUCAAAACUGUUUUUCUUGAGUAGUGCAGAGGUAGAUGGAAUUCCCGGUGUAGCGGUGGAAUGCGUAGAUAUCGGGAGGAACACCAGUGGCGAAGGCGGUCUACUGGGCACCAACUGACGCUGAGGCUCGAAAGCAUGGGUAGCAAACA
rnacentral:rRNA from 1 species